CCUACGGGGUGCUGCAGUGGGGAAUAUUGGACAAUGGGCGAAAGCCUGAUCCAGCCAUGCCGCGUGUGUGAAGAAGGCCUUCGGGUUGUAAAGCACUUUCAGUGGGGAAGAAAGCCUUGGGGCUAAUACCCUCGAGGAAGGACAUCACCCACAGAAGAAGCACCGGCUAACUCCGUGCCAGCAGCCGCGGUAAUACGGGAGGGUGCGAGCGUUAAUCGGAAUUACUGGGCGUAAAGCGCGCGUAGGCGGUCUGAUAAGCCGGUUGUGAAAGCCCCGGGCUCAACCUGGGAACGGCAUCCGGAACUGUCAGGCUAGAGUGCAGGAGAGGAAGGUAGAAUUCCCGGUGUAGCGGUGAAAUGCGUAGAGAUCGGGAGGAAUACCAGUGGCGAAGGCGGCCUUCUGGACUGACACUGACGCUGAGGUGCGAAAGCGUGGGUAGCAAACAGGAUUAGAUACCCCAGUAGUC
rnacentral:rRNA from 1 species